rnacentral:tRNA from 1 species
GUCUUUCUAGUAUCAAAGUAAAUACAUAUGACUUCCAAUUAUUUAAUCCUGGUUUAAGCCCAGGGAAAGACA